ACCGCUAGGCAGGACCUGGUGGGGAGGAGCAUUGCUUGGAAGAGACAGGGCCGCAGAAAGUAGAAACGGUCCAGAUGAGACUGCAUGGGGCGGGAACUAGAGAUGGAGGACUUUCCCGCGCAAGGGGGACAGGCUGGACUGAAAGAGGACACGGGAAGAACAAAGACUUAGACUCGAAGCCCUCGGAUGGUGGCCCUUGCAUGCUUCAGUUCAUGAUGUUGGAGACUAUUUCCCCACCCUUGCGGAAAAACCUUCUCUCUGUGCCAUGCAGCUACUGCCAGGGAUGGAGGAUGGCGGGAAUUGGCAACUAAAGACUGUCCUCCUACCCUCUUCAGUGUGUCCUUCAGCAAUAUGAAGUUAAAACCAGGUAUUGUAAAUGCUUACCUGAUUUUUAGUUCGUAUGAAGGUGCUUUUUUCCUGUAGAUUGUUGUUAAAUGCGGUAUUCCUGAAGAUGAAAUGAUUGGUGGAAACUUAUAUUUGGCCAUCUUGCUCCAGCCCCUCUCUAGACAUUCUCUUACUGUUUUAUUUGGAAAAUACUGAAACAGACAUACACACACACAAAUAAAAAUCACCCAUAGCCCCAUCAUCUCUAAAAUGUAUAAAAAUAAUUUGCACUGUCUCUCUGUUCGCCAGUCCCUCUUCUCCCAGAUUAAGCUUCUCAAUUUUUAACAAGCAUAAGAAAUCUAGUUAAAAUGCAGAUUCCUGGGCACCACCCUCAGCUAUUCUAGUUUGGGAGGCCUAGGAUGAGACCCAAGAAUCUGCAUUUUUAAACAAAUUCACUGAUCGGCUGGGCGCAGUGGCUCACACCUGUAAUCCCAGCACUUUGGGAGGCCAAGGCAGGCGGAUCAUGAGAUCAGGAGUUCAAGACCAGCCUGGCCAACUUAGUGAAACCCCAUCUCUACUAAAAAUACAAAAAAUUACCCAGGUGUGGUAGCGGGCACCUGUAAUCCCAGCUACUCAGGAGGAUGAGGCAGGAGAAUUGCGUGAACCCGGGAGGAGGAAGUUGCAGUGAGCCGAGAUCUCGCGACUGCACUCCAGUCCGGGCGACAGUGUGAGACUCUGUCUCAAAAUAAAUAAAUAAAUAAAUAAAUAAAUAAAUAAAUAAAUAAAUACAAUAAAAUACAAUAAAAAAUUUUCACUGAUCAUGGAGCCACAAAGAUGUCUGAGAAACCCUAUUCAAGCUCUUUGGCUUUCUAGGAUAGAUUUGCAUGUCAAUAUCAGCAUGCACAUUUUUUUUUGUUUUUUGUUUUUGGUAUUUGCUUGUUUGUUUUAGUAAAUAAAAGCUGCUGUAAUUAUUGAUCUGCAA